ACCUAUCAAUAUACAAAGAUUAGUAACAUCCAUUCAGACCAUUAGAAAUUAUUGGAAAUUCGAGCGGCGGAACCGAGAUCUAGAUCACGUGACAUCAAUCGAGCAGACGACGCCAUUUUUAAGCCGAGUCGGGUAAACAAUUGCCAUCAUCGUUAUCGUUUUCACACCUGUCUUUAUUGACUUUAAGGAUGCCGCGGAAGAAACGCAGUAAGGGCUUUUGUACACAGAAGUACCUAUGGAAAAAACCUAAGGUCACCUAAGGUCACAACCAGCACGGAUGAAACAAUACCUGCUCUAUCGGAUAAAACAAUACCUGCUCUAUCGGAUGAAACAAUACCUGCUCUAUCGGAUGAAAUAAAACCUGCUCUAUCGGAUGAAACAAUACCUGCUCUAUCGGGAUUGUCAAAUGAUUCAUGUUCUGGCAACAGUCAAACAUGUAGUAAUGUUUAUGUCCAAACCUGUGAUGAGGGGAAUGACCAUGACUACUGUGUUCGUUUAGAUGAUGAUUCAGGGUUGCUGAAUACAGGAUUCAUUGAUAAUGGUCCAGACAUAAUGAACAUGGAAGAUGAGACGGACAUUUUGAAUCGUGAAUUUUAGGAAGACUUUGAACAGAAUGCAAAUGGGAGAACGACACUAAAUGAAUGGGAGAGGUACCCAAUAUAUUGUACAUUGGAUCUGUUUGAAGAUUUUUUAGUGUGCUUUUAUACGCAAUAGGAAACACUUGCUGAAUCCGCUGGUUUUCCGCAUCAUCAAACUCUUGUUUGCCGCUAGACGGCUGUGAACUCUUUCUGUAUUCUGCAGCUGCAAGAAGUAAUUAAUAUGAAUAAACUAUAUGUAUAAUUUGUAUUAGACUUGACCGUAUUUAUUUUGUUUUAAUCUGUACAGAUCUUGCAAAUUAUCCACAUUGGUAACUUGUUUAACACAAAAAUGUUACAGAAAUGUUGUUCUUUCAUUUUAUGAAUCUCGUUCUGAGAAAAUUGGACAUAAUGUUUUUGCGUAAAUUGUUAUUCCAGAUUAGCCUGUGCAGUUCAUACAGGCUAACCAGGGACGACACUUUCCGCUUAUAUGACAUUUUUCUUUUAAAUAAAGUCUCUUCUUAGUAAGAAACCAAUUUAGGCGUAAAGGGUCCUCCUUGAUUAGCCUUGGUGGACUGCACAGGCUAAAUCUGGGAUGAAACUACGCACAAGCAUUAUGUCCAGUUUUCUCGAAACGCGACUCGUGUAAUGAAACAACAUUUCUUCAAUAAAAAAGUAUUUCGUUAAUUUAUUAUUAACUUUUGUGUAAUGUUGUAUGUUGUUAAAUAUGCUAUUAAACUAUCAAAUAAUUUA